AAAUUCACAUUGGCACUUUGGAAUGUGCUGUUGGAAUUAGGGGUAUAAUGGACAUUUUGGGCUUGGUCACCAGCAAAGGCCAUGACAGCAAGAGGCUGCUUGCAUUUGUCAUUAGCAUGGCCUAAAGAGAAGGUUAGGGUGUAUGGCUUGUUGGGGGAAGUUUCAACCAUUUGGGAAAUAAUGCCUUCCUUCCCAGAUAGCAAUUCAAUGGCUCGCUUGCCUUGCGGCACAGUAAAAUGGUAGGAGUCGAUGUACCUAACAGCACGGUUGGACUCAACGAUCCAACCGGGUAACGAGGAUGUUUCUUCGUCGAGGUUGGUGGGAAGCAGCACCCCUAGCGAGAUGUUUGCGAACAUCCAUGGACCUUCCUCAAAAUCACCAUUGAUCACUGCGUUGUCUGCACAAAAUAUGGCAAAUACUCACUUUUUAGUAACAUGAAAUCGUAUAGCAUUUUUUGUGUGUACCUUCGGCCGAGUUUCAAAACCCAACAUUGAUUUAUGUUACUUAGUUAGAAUGUGAAUCUAAAUCAUAUAUUUAUAUAAUAAUUUAAUUAUUAAUGAAAUUGAGAAGGCUCCAUACCCUAAACUUGAAGUCCAUAAAUAGUAACUCUUUAGUUGGGGACAAUUUAUAAAUCCUUAUUUCUUUGAUUAGGUGGUCAAAGGUCAAAAGCGUCAAAUAAUUUUACCCACUCAUAGAAAAUUAGUACUUCACCUAAUUAAGUAAUGGGCCCAUAGGGUUUGAAUUGAAGAAGUCAAGACAAGUGAGAGGAAAAUAAUUUUUACCUUUGGGCCUAUCAGGGGUAAAGAGCUUCUUGAUAGCAACAUCAUCAAUGAUGGGCCCACAGGUGGGGUCAUCUUCCAUGCCGGGAUUCCUGAAGACCAACAUCGCAUCAUCCUCCUCAGCCGCGAAAGCCCACGCGUAAGGGUCCCACCCUUGCACGUUGUACAAGG
rnacentral:lncRNA from 1 species